rnacentral:rRNA from 1 species
GGGCCCGCACAAGCGGAGGAACAUGUGGUUUAAUUCGAUGAUACGCGAGGAACCUUACCUGGGCUAGAACGCUUCUGGAGUGUACGGGAAACCGUACAGCCCUUCGGGGCCGGGAGCGAGGUGCUGCAUGGUUGUCGUCAGCUCGUGCCGUGAGGUGUCGGGUUAAGUCCCAUAACGAGCGCAACCCCUACUGCUAGUUGCCAGCGCGUAAAGGCGGGAACUCUAGCGGGACUGCCGGCGUAAGCCGAGAGGAGGGUGGGGAUGACGUCAAAUCAGCACGGCCCUUACGUCCAGGGCUACACACGUGUUACAAUGGCCGGUACAGAGGGCAGCUACCUGGCAACAGGAUGCGAAUCUCGAAAGCCGGUUCCAGUUCGGAUUGGGGUCUGCAACCCGACCCCAUGAAGUUGGAUUCGCUAGUAAUCGCGCAUCAGCCACGGCGCGGUGAAUACGUUCCCGGGCCUU